rnacentral:rRNA from 1 species
AGGAAGUAAAAGUCGUAACAAGGUUUCNGUAGGUGAACCUGCGGAAGGAUCAUNAACGAGUUAGGGUCUUCUAGGCCCGACCUCCCCAACCCUUUGUUUANUGAACCACAGUUGNUUCGGCGGGCCCGUCUCACGACCGCCGGAGGAUCGCUGAAAAGCGUGUUCUAUGGUCCGCGUCUGCCGAUGGCCAACCACUUAAAAACUCUGAAUGAAUCAUGUUCUAUGUCUAAGUCGAAGAUUAAAUUAAAAGCAAAACUUUCAACAACGGAUCUCUNGGUUCUGGCAUCGAUGAAGAACGCAGCGAAAUGCGAUAAGUAAUGCGAAUUGCAGAAUUCCAGUGAGUCAUCGAAUCUUUGAACGCACAUUGCGCCCUUUGGCAUUCCGAAGGGCAUGCCUGUUCGAGCGUCAUUAUCACCCCUCAAGCCCCGUGCUNGGUGUUGGANGNCUUUGGUCGAGUGACAUCGACCCCUCCUAAAGACAAUGACCGCGGCCUGUGGAACCCCCGGUACANUGAGCUUUUAACCGAGCACGUAUCGGAUGAUGGNGUCCUGGACACGGU